GACGUAGGGGGCCAGCGUUGUUCGGAAUUACUGGGUGUAAAGGGUUCGUAGGCGGUGUAGCAAGUCGGGAGUGAAAUCUCUGGGCUUAACCCAGAGGCUGCUUCCGAAACUGCUGUGCUUGAGUGUGGGAGAGGCGCGUGGAAUUGCAGGUGUAGCGGUGAAAUGCGUAGAUAUCGAGAGGAACACCUGCGGCGAAGGCGGGUAGCUGGGCCGACACUGACGCUGAGGCGCGAAAGCCAGGGGAGCGAACGGG
rnacentral:rRNA from 1 species